UAAUCACGUGUGUCACGUUUCCAAAGGUAGUCACUGUGCCUCGGUGCUGGGCUGGGUCCAAUCUUGUUUCCUAGACGCUUGUUUGCGGCGCCACCUGCUGGCAAGAGCUGGAAGUUCAGCAGUCCAGUCAUCACGGGACUCCUUUGGUUCGACCUUCAGGUGUCCUAGAAGGAGCCCUGACGGGUGUCUGGAGGCUCCAGCGCUGUGAGGAAACACUUCUGUUGCUGAGGCCGGCCAGCCUGUGUGCGUUAGGUCAAUUCUGGCAAAUUACUACGGUGCUCAGAGCCCUCCUUAAUGACAGCAUUUCCCCUGGAGCCAGCGAAGAAGGUUUCAAGAAAGAAGCCGCAGGCAGGCACCUGUGAUGCUGAGCUACAUCCCCAGCCCAGGAGCAGGAUUUGAACAAUGUGCCCAGCUGCAAAGUCUGCAGUUUGAUGCAAAAUGAAAGUUGCACCUGGGGCUUGGACUACUUCUCCUUGCGACAUCCUCCUCGUCUCAUCCUGUGCCUCCUUCAGUGUGGGACAAGAACCUAAUCCCCAGGCGAUGGCAUGGAGCUGACACACACCAGGAAAUCUUUUCUGAGUUAAAUUCCAACAGCCACACGUGUGUGAGCCGGCCGUCGGAAGAGUCUCUCCCAGGAACGCUAAUUGGUCCCUUUGGGGAUGAAAUUGGCCUCCUUCGCCCGUACAGCGCGGCAAGUUCAUCAGAGGCCGGGAAAUGAUUUUCUCACCCAGAUGCUCCUGCUGGCCUCCAGGUGGCGAUGCUGCUUUGUCAACCUCCAGAGAGCCUGGAGCUGGCCCAGGCGAGUCUGAAAUUGAGGUGAAACAGAUGUGGAGGAGGGUCAAACUGGGCGUGGAGGGACUGAAAACUGGGAGACACACACUCAGCUUUGUGGGUGGCAGACACGGAGGCACAGCCUCAUAUGCUAGGUGUCCAGACACAGGCUUUAUUUUUAUUUAUGUCAUUUUGG